UGGGGAAUAUUGCACAAUGGGCGCAAGCCUGAUGCAGCCAUGCCGCGUGUGUGAAGAAGGCAUUCGGGUUGUAAAGCACUUUCAGCGGGGAGGAAGGCGUUAAGGUUAAUAACCUUGGCGAUUGACGUUACCCGCAGAAGAAGCACCGGCUAACUCCGUGCCAGCAGCCGCGGUAAUACGGAGGGUGCAAGCGUUAAUCGGAAUUACUGGGCGUAAAGCGCACGCAGGCGGUCUGUCAAGUCGGAUGUGAAAUCCCCGGGCUCAACCUGGGAACUGCAUUCGAAACUGGCAGGCUAGAGUCUUGUAGAGGGGGGUAGAAUUCCAGGUGUAGCGGUGAAAUGCGUAGAGAUCUGGAGGAAUACCGGUGGCGAAAGCGGCCCCCUGAACGAAGACUGACGCUCAGGUGCGAGAGCGUGAGGAGCAAACAGG
rnacentral:rRNA from 1 species